GAGACGGAGAUGCUACUCACUGUACCAUUGUUGAUCUUAUGGCUGCAACUGACACAACUGAAAGGACAACAGCUGAAGCAAACUCCUCAGUUCCAGUAUAUCCGGGAAGGAGAGAACUUCAGCACAUACUGCAAUGCCUCAAGCUUUUUAGACAGUGUACAGUGGUAUAAACAGAGGCCUGGAGGAAGUCCUGUCUUCCUGAUGCUGUUAACAAGGCCUGGAGAAACGAAGGAGAAAAGACUGACAAUUCAGUUUGGAGAAAAGAGAAAAGACAGCUCUCUGCACAUCACAGCGGUCCAGACUGCAGAUGUGGGAACCUACUUUUGCGCAGUGGCACAGUGUUCCUCAAGCACCUGCUGCCUGUCCCCAAACCUUGCCUUGGGGCCUCAGGGGCAGCCCCUCCCAUUCUCCUUGCAAAGCAUGAGCCAGAGAGAGUUGAAGUCACAAUGUCAGUGA